CCGGAUUAGAUACCCUGGUAGUCCACGCCCUAAACGAUGUCUACUAGUUGUCGGGUCUUAAUUGACUUGGUAACGCAGCUAACGCGUGAAGUAGACCGCCUGGGGAGUACGGUCGCAAGAUUAAAACUCAAAGGAAUUGACGGGGACCCGCACAAGCGGUGGAUGAUGUGGAUUAAUUCGAUGCAACGCGAAAAACCUUACCUACCCUUGACAUGUCAGGAAGUCUGGAGAGAUCUGGAUGUGCCCGAAAGGGAGCCUGAACACAGGUGCUGCAUGGCUGUCGUCAGCUCGUGUCGUGAGAUGUUGGGUUAAGUCCCGCAACGAGCGCAACCCUUGUCAUUAGUUGCUACGAAAGGGCACUCUAAUGAGACUGCCGGUGACAAACCGGAGGAAGGUGGGGAUGACGUCAAGUCCUCAUGGCCCUUAUGGGUAGGGCUUCACACGUCAUACAAUGGUGCAUACAGAGGGCCGCCAACCCGCGAGGGGGAGCUAAUCCCAGAAAGUGCAUCGUAGUCCGGAUCGCAGUCUGCAACUCGACUGCGUGAAGUUGGAAUCGCUAGUAAUCGCGGAUCAGCAUGUCGCGGUGAAUACGUUCCCGGGUCUUGUACACACCGCCCGUCACACCAUGGGAGCGGGUUUUACCAGAAGUAGGUAGCUUAACCGCAAGGAGGGCGCUUACCACGGUAGGAUUCGUGACUGGGGUGAAGUCGUAACAAGGUAGC
rnacentral:rRNA from 1 species